rnacentral:rRNA from 1 species
UACGUAGGGCGCAAGCGUUGUCCGGAAUUAUUAGGCGUAAAGAGCUCGUAGGCGGUCUGUUACGUCCGCUGUGAAAACCCAGGGCUUAACCCUGGGCUUGCAGUGGAUACGGGCAGACUAGAGGCAGGUAGGGGAGAAUGGAAUUCCCGGUGUAGCGGUGAAAUGCGCAGAUAUCGGGAGGAACACCGGUGGCGAAGGCGGUUCUCUGGGCCUGACCUGACGCUGAGGAGCGAAAGCGUGGGGAGCGAACAGG